UGGGCAGUAGCUCAGCGUUGUGGGUCUCACCACCAGCACCGCAUUCCUUUGCUUACCACUUAAUUUUCACGAAGCACUGCGUCUCUUUCCCUUCCCUGGGACUUGGGGGAACGCAGGCUCCACCACAAAGCCUCAGAAACUUCAGGCCGGGAGGACAAGGCCCACAUGAAGACAGUGAGGCCCAGGAGCACUACAAGCCUGUCGAGCACGUAUUGUCUAUGAAAGGCAACUCACGGGGUUCUCGUGCUGAAGCCCUAAACAGCACUUCCGCACGAACCGAGGGGCUAUUUUAAACAGCAAAAUCACCAACGAGAAGCACAAAAAUGUGAAAGAUGUGCCCCCAGACAGACUUUGGAAAGGACUCUUGUUUACAGGAUGAGAGCUGAAGACAAGAAGGCACAGGGUAGCGUCUUGCUCGGCCCCAGCUGGGAACAUGCACCUCAGACAACCCAAACAUUUUGCUGCUCUGUACGGGCCCGCCAAUAACCACGAGAGUGCGGUGAGUAUUGUUUAGCGACUGCGAAUAAAUUGUCGCGACUACAUACGUUUGCGAAGAGAGAAUCCAGUAAUGACAACUGACUGCACUUUUCAAUGCCACAAUUACACUCCAUCAGGCUGAGAAAUGUCACUUACUCCAUGAGGCCCCUGUGCCUGCACAUUGGAUGUCUCCGGCUUUUCCCGUUACAGACAAUGACACAGGAAAUAGUGUUAACAGAGAUGGUUGCCUUCGUUUAA